rnacentral:tRNA from 1 species
GCGGUCGUAGCUCAGCUGGUUAGAGCGCUGCCCUGUCACGGCAGAGGCCGAGGGUUCGAGUCCCUUCGACCGCG